UUCCUUCUACAUCAACAAGAUCUGUGUCCAGCGGUCCCGACGUGCGGUGCUUGCGCUGUCACUGCCGGUUGCAUCCCUGCGACAUUUCGACGAAUCUAUGCAAACCUUCCUCUCAAUGGAGUAAGUGCGGUCGACAGAUCUCAGAGCGAAAUGCGCGCGGUGCUUCGCUUUGAGUUCCUCGCGAGCUCGGCGACACUGCGUUGCUGGGGCGCUAUAUUCCGAAUCGUUCCCGAGGCCGUCGGCCGCUGAGGGUUGGGACAAACCAUAGCUUGCCUACAUAC
rnacentral:sRNA from 1 species